AGCCGCCGCGGUAAUUCGAAGGGACCUAGCGUAGUUCGGAAUUACUGGGCUUAAAGAGCACGUAGGUGGUUAGAAAAGUUGGUGGUGAAAUCCCAAGGCUUAACCUUGGAACUGCCGCCAAAACUUUUUGACUAGAGUAUGAUAGAGGUAAGCGGAAUUUCUAGUGUAGAGGUGAAAUUCGUAGAUAUUAGAAAGAACACCAAUUGCGAAGGCAGCUUUCUGGAUCAUUACUGACACUGAGGUGCGAAAGCAUGGGUAGCGAAGAGGAUUAGAUACCCUCGUAGUCCAUGCUGUAAACGAUGUGUGCUAGACGUUGGAAAUUUAUUUUUCAGUGUCGCAGCAAAAGCGUUAAGCACACCGCCUGGGGAGUACGACCGCAAGGUUAAAACUCAAAUGAAUUGACGGGGACCCGCACAAGCAGUGGAGCAUGUGGUUUAAUUCGAAGAUACGCGCAGAACCUUACCAACUCUUGACAUGUUCGUCGCGAACCUAAGAGAUUAGGUUCUUCAGUUUGGCUGGACGAAACACAGGUGCUGCAUGGCUGUCGUCAGCUCGUGUCGUGAGAUGUUGGGUUAAGUCCCGCAACGAGCGCAACCCUCACUUUUAGUUGCUACCAUUAAGUUGGGCACUCUAAAAGAACUGCCGGUGAUAAGCUGGAGGAAGGUGGGGAUGACGUCAAGUCCUCAUGGCCCUUACGAGUUGGGCUACACACGUGCUACAAUGGUACUUACAAUGAGAUGCGAAGAGGCAACUCUAAGCCAAUCCCAAAAAUGUACCUCAGUUCGGAUUGCACUCUGCAACUCGAGUGCAUGAAGCUGGAAUUGCUAGUAAUCGCGGAUCAGCGCGCCGCGGUGAAUACGUUCCCGGGUCUUGCACACACCGCCCGU
rnacentral:rRNA from 1 species